UUGCCGCCGUCUGAUAUAACAUACCAAAGGGGAAGGGGUGGUGGGGGUUCGUUUGGCUUGGCGUCGUCGUCGCGCGCGCUCCGGUGACGGCGGCGGGCCGGCAUGGCCGUGGAGGAAGUCCUCGGUUGGUCGCUGUGCAACUUGACGCCUCAUCAUCUCGGCUCGGCCAAAGGGAGAAUGAAGAUACAAUACAAUACAGGAAGAGCGGCCUCCGGUCGCCGUGGUGUGCGUGUGUGUGUGGGCUGGAUGCCCUGUUCUCAGCUAGCGCUCUCCUAUCCUAUCAGAUUCAGAGCAGGGUUUUGCUGAUGUUCUACGUUUUGUUACUCGCUAUCACCAGAAAUAAAAAAGUUCCUUGCAGUUUGUUCUAAUUCCUACCAUCGUUGCAACAUUGGAUAUAGUGUCUAAGAACAGGAGAACCUGUAGAAAAUAGACAAGCACAGAAACUGUACUCGAAAUCGUCUGAAAUGCGAACUAGUGCAUUUUCCUUGCGAAAAUCCCUACAAAAAAUCUUGUGGUAGGCGUGCGUGGCCGCACUAAAAGAAAAUGUGCCCCGGUCGGUGCAGAGAACCCGUCCCGUCCGCUCACUGUCUGACGUGUGGUGUGGUCCGGCCCUACGAGUAGGCCUCGUGCCUAUAGGAGCGUUCCAGCACUGCUUCCCCACUAGCACAGAGCCGUGCAAUUUUAUCACACAAGACUCGAGAAAUCCACGAGAUCGCGGAUUGGUAUUGCUUGAGCGCCCGGUGAUCCCCGUUGCACUCCAGCCGACCACCACCGACUCCUGCGGCGCCUAGAAUUUCCCGUGCUCCAGCGAUAGGGCGCGACCGGGGUGAAACUGAAACCAGUGGCAAUACCAUUGGGUCCCCACCGCGGGUGCCCGUGAACCUUAUCGUGGCGCAUGCCUCCCGCACCGACCGACGGCAUGGACGCCGUCGUCUCUGCUAGCCUUUCUUUCUUUCUUUCUUUUAUUUAACGCGGCGGUGAUCGACAGCGACCGGCGGCGCGGGAAGCUCCCGCAGGGCUUGCGGGUCUGUUCGCUUCAGCUUAUAAACCGGCUGAAAAGCUGAAAUGGCUGAUUUGUUGUGAGAAAAAAACACUGUUUGGUAGCUGAUAGGCCGGAUGAACAAGCUGAAGCGAACACGCCGUGCAUAGUUGCAUCCGGCUGGCUCCGUUCUCGGAUCAACUUGGGCUGAGGGCAAUUGACAGUGAACGGGCCUGGCCAUUGAAUAUUUGAAUUGAGCACCAGUGGUAGCUCAAAUUUACCACGCGCAGGUCGGCACACGGAAGGAUCAGGAAGGUAAGGCGACCUGGACCAGUCAUCAGUUCAUCACAUGACGCGCUGCCAAGAUACCCUCCAGGCUCCAGCAAAAGAAAAGCUGUUGGGAAUGGGCCGCCCUGCGUGGGAUCAAUCCCCGAGAAGAUCAGAUAUUAUAACGUGGCACUAAAAAAGAAUAAAGUAGCCGCCGGGAUUGUCUCACAAAAGAAUAAAGUAGCCGUCGAGAUUGGUCUCAAAAAAUAUUAAAGUUUCGGCGUGUUCAGAUCCGACAACCUAUCGAGGCUACCCGAGUUAGGGUUGAGUGCGCGAGACUUGUCAAGAUUAGGAAUUUGAAGGUAAACACAGACAUACGAUUUAGACAAGUUUGGAUCGUUAGAUUGCGUAAUACCCUACUUCUUGUGUGUCGGUUGGAUUGAAUUGCCUUGAAGAGGAUCCCUGCCUCGCCUUAUAUUAUCGGGAGCAGGGUUACAGGUUGGUUGAUUUAUAAGAAUACUAGUCGAAUUCGAUUAGAUAAGGCAUACUCUAAUUAUUACGAGUAGUUUUUCGAAUUCUCGACUAGUUCCUAUCUUACCACGUAAAUCAUACCAUCCUGCAUCAUAGUCUUCACAUCUUGUACCAGUCCUGUACCUAGAACUCUCCAAAUCUCCUGAUGAACUCGUAGAUGUAUAUACGACGGCCGCCGAGGUUCGAAUGCGAACGGUGCAGGUCAUCUGGCUAGUUGGUGUGCAAAUUUUAUUUGAAAUGCUGUAGUCCACCGACGAACAAAUACUUCAGCCCAUUUUUAAGUCAUCUCUUGCUAUUUUAUCCUUCCCGAGAUACCCAUUGCCGACAGCAUCAAUUAGUUGCUAUUUUAUCCUUCCCGAGAUACCCAAUACUGACAGCAUCAAUUAGCGUCCAUAUAGCUUUCAGUAAAAGAGAAGGCUUCUGGGCAAUAAUGAACACAGCUGAAAGGGAGUGUCAAUUUUCUUCAACACAUGCGUAGUGCGAUUUUCUUACUACGCCAUAACCUUUAGUACUGUCUUAAGCCCGCUCAAUAUGUGCAAACAGAUUAUCAUCUGGACCACAGAAAUCUGAAGGAAUGCAAACAUACACAGCCCAUACAGAUACAGAUCACCACACAUGGGCCACAAACUACCCAUUAACACCCACAGUAAGAACCACAAGCAUUGGGCGUGAGCAAGAGCUGCUUCCAAAGCAAAUCUCAAACAGAUCGGAGGGUUCGUCCAAUUUUUUGGGCAAUCAUAUUGCAAUAAGACAACGUCCUCACGACACCUAGAUAUAUCAGACGCAAAACAGAUACACAAUCUGAUCUCACACUGCUGGAACACGGAGGACAAUCCGUCGCUGAUACAUCAACAUGCAGACUCAUAAGAUUAUCGCCUUACCGGCUUCCAGCUUGGCUGCAGACGACUCAGAGAAAAGGGGGACAUACAGGAGAGUAACCGGAUGUAGGCAUGCAAGGGUGAUCGCAUUGGCUGUGCCAAUCACCCAGACUUGAAUAGCAAGACGGCUUUGGAAUCGAUGUAGAAGUAUACAAAGUAGUUUGUCUCAUGCGUUACAUACGAACCUGCAAUAGACGAAAAAUGGUUAGCAAAAGCGUGGGCGUUCAAUAUACAUAUCAUGGACUCAUAAAUGGAAGAGGUUAAUAAGUUCUCACUAUUUUCAGCUUAACUUUUCCAUUCCCAAGCUAUGCAUAUGCCACUAAAGUUCAGCGGUCAACAUAACCACAUACUCCACAACCAAAAGGAGUAACUGGAUGUUUUUAAUGUAGAUUAACAAAUCCAACCAAUUUAUAAUGGAGAAACUCUAGCAGGACUUGGCAUAUGUUCUGUCUCACUGCUAGAAUAACUAUCCCAUGUUACAGAAAUGGUAUUUAGACAUAGUAAACAAGAUGCCGGAUAAAUAUCAAACAAAGGCAGAAGAGGCUAACGCUCUUCUAACUUGCUAAUUGAUCAUUUCUCGAGCUAUGAGAAGUAAUUUAAGAUAAAAUUUCUCCCAUAAUCCUAUCAUAAUAGAGUAAAACAGAAACAUGUAGAAAUUAAGACAGCUCUUCAUUGAGUUUUAUAAUUAGUUUGUGAAGUAGAAUCAGUCAAAAAUAUCUGGAAACUACGACAGCUCAUCACUCAGUCUUAGAAUUAGAGAAACAAUUUAAGAAAAGAUUUCUCCCAUAGUCCUAUCCUAAUAGAGUCAAACAGAAACAUGUAGAAAUUAAGACAGCUCUUCACUGAGUUCCUAUCCUAAUAGAGUCAAACAGAAACAUGUAGAAAUUAAGACAGCUCUUCACUGAGUUUUAUAAUUAGUUUGUGAAGUGGAAUCAGUCAAAAUAUCUGGAAACUACAACAGCUCAUCAUUCAGUCUUAGAGUUAGGUUGAGAUACAAUCAGUGCAAUCAAAUAGAAACAUCUGGGAACUAAGACAGGUCGCCGAAGUGUCUUAGGAUUAGUUUGUGUGACAGAAUCAGUCAGUUGUGAGUGUGUCAUUCUCUCUAACGUUUGUCCUUCUCUUCUUAUUAGUAAAAAGAAAGCUGAAGUGCUGCCCAAGUUUGGAACAACAAAGGGUGACCAAAUUUAAAGGAAAAAAAUAAAAAAGGACUGGAAUUCAGAGACAGCAACAACCAGCCUCUUGUUUCUAUGCCAUCGAUAGAGAAAAACCUUUUUAAUUUUGCUAAUACUUUCAGUGCUAAAAUGUGUGCUCAAUCAAAAGGGACAUUCAGCCAUUGGUCAAAUCUUUCUAGCCUUGUCAGAGUGGCAGAAUUCGUAAGAAUUUGGUGACUUGUUGCAGUACACCAAUUAUCAGAAGCACACUCCAAAAUUUAUUAACAGAUAUUGGCCCAGAACGAAAAAACCAAUAAAAAAUGUGCAGAUUUGAGUUAUGGCUAUUUUAUGAUAAUUGACAAUGCCUGAAAGAAAACCAAAAUAGUGUAUGUCUGACUUGCUUGUAGAGAAUGCAAAGGAAGGAGAGAAAGAAAGCAAUGAUAUGCUUUAUUUGUUAUGCACGAUAUAGAAGUUGCAGUGAUAAGACCUAGCUACUAGGCAUGCUGGAAAAUUUCCAAUAACAAUAUAAUUUGGCAUCUUGAUCGAGAAGAAGCUAGAAUGGGAGAUAAAUCAGGAAAUUAUAAAUGAUCCAAUGCUACACGUAAAGCUAUAUAGCAUGUAGAAGAAUAUGAACACAGUCGAGAAAUUGCUAUAAGAAAAUAUGACCUGAAGUAUAAGAUUAAACAUUUUGUAGAGGAGAGUCGAAAAACGAACAGCUAAAACUUAUGUUUGAUAAGAACAUAGCCACAUAAUUGCAAUAAAAAAACAGAACAAAUGCAGAGUUAAACAGUUGCUGCAAAACACAAAAGCUGUUCAAUCUGGUACUGAAAAUUGUUAGCUUAGAUCCAAUAUCACAAAUUGGUUAGGCCAAUUGCAUUAGAGGUCUCUAAACUUCCUUUAUUGCACUGCUAAUUGCAGGAGUGUUUGUCAAGUGAAUAAGUAAUGUGCCAUGCCAGUUGACACGGAAUAUAAGUGACAUGACAGUAUGACAGUCAGCAUGCCCAGUCAGUUGCAAGUCUACAUAAAAUGCCAUGCCAUUUCUUUGUUACAUCUGAUUAACAGAGUACAGUGACACUAAGUUAAGGAACUGAAAAAUAAAGCAUGUGCUACUAAUUUAUUGAAACAAAAAAUUUAGUUUUAGAUAAGAAAGAGUUGAACAAAAAAUUGAAUAAGUCAAUUAAAAAUGUGUAAAAUUGAAUGAUACUCCCUCCGUUUCAAAAUGUAGGUCAUUUUUGCUUUUCUACAUAUAUAGAUUUUGCUAUGUAUCUAGACAUAACACUAUAUUUAGGUGCAUAACAAAAUCUAUGUAUCUAGAAAAGCCAAAACGACUUACAUUUUGGAACGGAGGGAGUAGCUCGCUAAGUUGGAUUUGGUUGAUAUCAGGAAUAGCCUACCCUGUUGGCUGAGCAAAGCUUAGAGAAUGCUUACAUAAAGUUUUUAGAAUUUAAGCCAAGCCAGAAGCAAGGAGGUAAACUUCAAAUUCGAGAAAUAAGACAUUGUCAUACUUGCACUAUACACACUCCCGGAAACAAUACUUCACCCACUCCAUUACAGGUGCUACAUUCAAUAAAAAAAGAUACAGGUCAUUCAACAUUCCCUUGUCAAAUUUGAAGCAUAAUUUCAGUUGACUGCAAUAACCGUUUCAGCUUCUUCAGUUUUCCUAGUUCAUUUCCUCCUGUGUACAACUUAUUUGUGGGGGUGAGGGUGGGGAAUGAGUUUCCUGUGGCUUCUAUUGACAGCAUAAGCAGUCCUACAAGGUCCAUUCAAUCAAUCACGUGCGGACCUUUAUUGGGCCAGGCACGGACGAAAUCGACCAUGGAAUAACCAACGACGCAAAGCAUACCAGACCAGAUAUCAACAACUGUCCUCAGGACAGGCGCAAUCAUCCCACAUGUUCCGCGCUAAUUAAGGAGUCCUCCCGGACAAGAGGAGAGCAUUACCGAAGUUGCGGCCGACGAUGCAGUGCCAGGUUGGGCCGUGGUUCUUGUCGAACUCCUUCUUGAUGUACUCCGCGAUGUCCUUCUCCAUGGUGUGCUUCUCGAACGCCUGACCGAAAGAGCGAGAGGUUGAAAAAAAAAUCCCCCGAACCCCAACGAACAACUAGUAAUAUGAAAACCAAAUCGAGAGCAGGAAAGAAAGCAAUAGUGAGAGCAGAGGCACGAGGUUCGUACGAUGCGGGCGAUUUCGAAGGCCUCCUGCCGCAUCUCCUCCUUCAUAUCGGCGCUCUUGAGCUGGAUCUUGUGCCCCGCCGCGGCCGGCGGCGGGGACCCCGCGCCCACCGGCUUGCGGUCCUCGGAGGAGGCCCGGAGCGCCGCCUGCGCGGCGCCCCCGGCCCCGCGCCUGGCCUCGUCGGACAUUCUCGAGGGCGGGUGGAGCAGAGCUGCCGGGCACGCUUCUCCUCCCUCUCGAGGAAUCCUCUCCUCGCUUUUUUGGCGAUGGUGGGCGUCUGGGCGAGGACGAGAAGCAGACACCGUGGGCGUGCGCGUGCGCGUUGCAGUGGAAUCUGCCUAGCAGCCGGCGGCCAGAGAGAAGAGAGAAGGUGAAAGUGUUGAAACUGGGAACUUUGGGCUGAGCCAUGGGCCUCCAUAUACAGAACCGGCCCGAAAUAAAGAGUCCAUGAGGUUGGUCCAGUUCCGUUUGCAAUGUGAGUAUUUUGCGAAACCGUUGCAGAAAUUUUAAGUGGAGCAGUUCAGCCCUCGUAGAGUCGAGAGUAAGACAAGAACAGUCAUGAGUUCCAAAUAUGCCUUCUUUAUAAAAAAAAAUUUGUCGUUAACAGUGCGCGUGUGUGUCUCCAGCAACUUCUAAUGUGACCCAAAUGGCCAAAUGUUACGGAGCCCUACGUGUUCUGGAGUUUCAAAGAGACGUAUGAAGACCACGAUGCAAAAAUGAUGUCUGCCUUUUCUCUGUCCGGUCAUCCAGGGUGUCACCUGGAGUUUUCAAGGUGUAUUUGGUUGCAUGCACCACAUGAUAUAUGCAUAGAUGAUUCUACAUGAGUGGUUCAACCAAUUUGCUUGUACCAUAUGGUUCAUUCUAAUUAGUAGAAUAAUGUAACACAGUGUUUUACCAUACAUUUGCAUAUCAACAGUCUCGCAAACCUGCAAACCUUCAAGGGUAUUAUAGUCAUUUCUUACCAAAAUUACAGUAUCACAGCUGUUUCAAUCAAACGGCUUUCAGCUUUUUCACACCUCAUAGCAUCUUUUCCAUAACCCGCAGCUCACAUCAACUUUUUCACAGCUCACAGUUCAACAAAAUAGACCAUAUAUAAGUAUGUUCGUGUGCUUUCAAAUUGCACGGGCAUCCUAAACUUACCCUCAGCUGCAAUUUAGGUCCAUGUGUUUGCAAAUGCUGAUCUAAGUAACUGAAUUUAGCUUAAUUGAUUAUUUUUUCUUAUGAUGGAACCUGCUUACCUGACUUCAAAUGCACUGAGUGCUCAUAUUUUUCUAAAUUUAUUUUAGGAAAUAAUAACUAUGUUUUUUAAUGGUUAGCGAUGUACCCGUCAAUAACGAGGUCCUUAUGUUUCGUCAAUCUCAAAAUCUGUUAGUUCAAUCUCUCUGAGAUAUGGUCAUAGGGAUAGGACGUGUGUGUUUGUAUGGAAAAGUUGACUUCACUUUUUUUUUGCUAGUUUUUUUCCAUGCAACACCUUCACAUCUAGAGACCUCCCAUAAAAGUACAUAUAUAGAAGCCUACAUACAUGCAUGCACAAUUACACAAUAUACACCUUUAGAGGAUCCGCUGAGGCUACUAGGGUCCCGUUUGGCAGAACUCUCAAAACUGAUUCUCCACUAAAUCCAGUAGGAACUCUGCCAAACAGUUUUUUAGAGAGAAGUAAUUCUCUAAUGAUUCUGUGAAGUAAUCCUCUGAAAUGAACUAAGAGGCUGGGAGCUGAAAAAAGUAGUUUCUCCUGAUUUUGUGAAGUAAUUCUCCAUUCUAAUUUUAAGAGUUUAUGCUAGAGAAUUAAAUAGAAUCGUUUUCAACACUUUUCUCAGAGAAUCAGAUGGAGUUCUAACCAAUAUUACGUGCGAAUGGUGGGGACGUUGUUUUUUAUGGAGGGGGUCAUGUUGGAGACAAACUUUGCUCAAAAAAUUGUUUUAGUUCCCAAACUAUCGAAAGGGUCAAUUUAGUCCCUGAAUUGUUGUUUGUAGUUCAAUCUAGUCGUUAGUCUUACAUGGCAUGCCAUGUGAGCUGACCGGUAUGCCCACAUGCAAAAUGUCCAUAUUACCCGUCCUCUUUUUUCUCACCCUCUCGCUUCCAUGCGGAUCCCACCUCUCAGUUAAAAAAAAAAUGGUCCGGUCCUUCGAUCCCUUGUGGUGCAUGUGGCUCCCGGUCCCAUCCCGCCGGCCGGCCAAGCAGGUGGAGCGCAUGAAUUGGCCUGUUCGCUUCAGCUUAUCAGCCGGCUUAUCAGCCACCGAACAAUGUUUUUCUCUCAUAACAAAUCAUCUGUUUCAGCUUUUCAGCCGGCUUAUAAGUCCAGCCGAACAGACCAAUACAGCUCGGCAGGGAAGACCGGCUAGACGAAGAUGCAUCGGCAAAGGAUGUCAUUGGUCUUACGUCUUGCCUUGGCCUUAUAUUUUUGCAUGUGCGAUGCGUAAUUUCUUCAAUUUCUUCAUGAGGCUCGGCGACACAUCCACAUCUCAACCAUUUAUUUGGUUUAUUUUUAUUUUUCCCUCAACCAUUUCAACCCUGACAGGUGGGACCUGCUUGGAAGCGAGAGGAUGAGGAAAAAAGAUGAAGGGUAAUUUGGACAUUUUGCAAGAGGACGUAGCAGUCAGAUGACGUGGCAUGGUAACUUGGUCCCACAUAAGACCGCAGACUAGAUUGAACUAUAAACAACAGUUCAGGGACUAAAUUGGUACUUUUGAUAGUUUGGGGACGAAACCGAUCCUUUGAGCAAAGUUGGGGAACCAAUACAGACUAUUUUUCCAAUUGCUAACGGACGAGUAAAGUGCAUGGCAGCGUUAAGUGUCCGUGUACUUUCAAAUUGCACUGUCCUCCUAAACUUACCAUGGGAUGCGAUUCAAAUCCAUGUACUCCCAAAUGCUGAUCUAGCGUACAGAAUUUAUCUCAAUUGGUUAUUUUUCUUCUGAUGGAACUUGCCUAACCUGCCUAUCCGACUUCAAGUGCUCGACUCGUCAACACAGCUACUCGUAUUUUCCAGAAUUUAUAUCAAGAAUCAAUGACUAUAUUUUUUAAUAGUUUGUGAUGUACCCGUCGAUACCGAGGUUAUUGUGGUGAUUUCGUCAAUCUCAAGAUCUGUGUCAAUCUCAAGAUCUGUUAGCCCAAUAUAUCUCAUAUGUACUCGUAGGGAAAGGAUGUGUGUGUUUGUAUGGAUAAGUUUUAAGGGUCUAUUUGGAUCCGUUAGCUAAACUUUAGCAGCUAAACUUUACUAAACUUGAGUUGCUAAACUUUAACCAUGACUGUUUGGAUCCAUGGGCUAAACAUCAUUUAAUGAGGUGUAGAAAGACCUGUCUGCCCUUAUUUAAUGCGAGGGGGGAGACAGAGAGAGGGUCCAGACAAGCAAUAAUGAGGGGCAAAAAGUGUCCAGCCCCAAGUUUAGCAAGGUUUAGCAACCAAAAAGUUGUUAAAGGACUAAAGUUUAGCAACCAUAGUUUAGCAAAAUUUAGCAAGGGUUUGUUGCUAAACUUUAGCUGCUAAAGUUUACCAAGGGGUAUCCAAACACCCCCUAAGUUGACAUCAUACUUUUGUUGCCAGAUUUUUUGAUGCAACACCUUAGAUUUCCUCCCUCAUAUAGAUGCCUAGAUACAUGCACGAAAUGCUUACCCAUAUAAAAAGGCACACUUAAAUACUAUGCACCUAGAGUACCAUAAAAAAAUACUGGACCCGCAGAUCAUGAGAAUGACGAAAUUACCACAGCCACCUCACUAUGAACGGGUACGCCGCUUACUACUAAAAGAAUAAUUAGCCAUAAAUGCAAGCAAUUGUCUUGAAGUUGGAGACUUGGAACUUGGAUGAGCAAGUUCAACCAAAAAAUCUAAUCAACCUAGAAUGUCGCUAUGGCAGAGAGUUUGCAGCAGCUUUUGAAAACUAUGGCUAAACAUGUUGAAAGAACACAACUCUAAUUAAUUCUAACUAGAAUGGGUCCUACUACCAAAGUAGUAUUUCUUGGAAAGAAUGGAAUUUUUCUACAUUCCCAACAUGAUUUUUUUCUCUCUCAAAAACACAGUUCCCAACAUGACCUACAAAGAACCUUUGAUCGAUUAGCACAUAAUAUUUCCUCGGCAGUUAUUCUAGGGAUCUAGCCAGAUUGCAUCUCUAUUCUCUAGUGGCCUAGAGGGCUUCUGAGCAUUUUGGUUGUGUAUUGGCAGCAGAUGGACAACACAUGAUGGAUGCACUCAUCGAAUUUUGGAUUAGUGAUCAAUCGGGCCAUCGGCUAAGUGCAUAUGCAGGCGAGGCCCCUUUGCAUAUGCAGGCCGGAGCUGUAUGCGCAAAAAAAAAAUUCAAUUGCAAAAACAAAAAAGGAAUAAAAGAGAUGAUGGCGGAUUUGCUGCCGUCGAUCUACUAGGUUUGCACACGAUCCAUGCUAUUGCUCUACCAUUGCCACCAUGCUGCGUUACUCGCUCUCCGGAUCAACCAGAGAAGGGAAAAAUUGAAGGGGGAAAGGUAGCAAUAGAAACACAUAAAAGAUUUGGAAAAAAAAAUCUUGCGACGAGGUUCCUGUUGUGCCACUCGUUGAGUGGAACCUGAAUCACCUCAUGACGGCGUGCUUCCAAGAGCCGCACUAUACACAGUCCGCCGAGAUCAGCACUAUACGCGGCCUGCUAGGAUCUGCACUAUAUGCAGUCCGCUAGGAUCCGUUAGCCUUGAUGAAAAACCGUGGAAGGGACUACCUCUUCCAUCGAGAAUCCACAUAAUCUGGGGCAGAGAGAGAGAGAGAGGGAGGGGGAGAGGGAUAGAAUUUGAGGGAGGAGGGAGAGAGAGAGUUUGCUCACCCUCCCCUUCAUGGUACCAGUUAAAGCAUAGUCUUAGCCACAUCGCAGCUCCCAAUCAGCAGCCCUCGAGCCGCACCAGAUCCCGCUAUGCCAGCAUAUGUGGAUCUCGCGGGUUCUGAGUUCCUAUCCCCCAUGGCGGCAUGCAUCUGCCUCACCUGUUGAUGGCGAGUCGGAGGUGGCCGCGGAGCAGGGGAGGUGUACUGAGAUCCGUUCGAGCCACCUCUGCGGUGUGUUGUGGAAGCCAACAGGGUAGAAAAGAGGGAGGAGGAAAAGGUAAAGGGAAUGAGAGGGAGCUCUUGUCGAUAGAAGAUAUAGGGGAAAAGGUUCUCUGAGUCAGGCACACUCACGUGAAAAAAGGGAAGAGGGGCAGCGGUGCAUGUCAACAACGUGUUGAUGACCUGUAGGGACUCCACAUACAGCGAAAUUAGAUCACCUAACCAGGGGCAAACAAGUUCAACUAUAUACCAUGGGAAGAAUGUAUGAUCCAUACAUAACUCCUAAGUCUCCAACUAGCAACUUAGUGGGAUGGUCAUUGAAGGCAACAAUCGCUCCAAAGUCUUUGAGAUUUCAUUCUAGCGGCCCCUGUCCCAUCCCUCUUUUUUCUGGUAAUUGAAAUAGUUAGGUAGUUUUUGGUUGUCAACUUUAAACCUUAGCAUAUAAGGAAAAUGGAAGAGUUGUAUAAUCGUAAACGAUUUAAGCAAUUACUUAUUUUGUUUGGUUUUGCCCAAUAAUGAAGUAUGGUGUUAAAAACAAAAAUUAAAGAAGAAGUAUAUAUGAUCAACGAGACGGUGACAAUGAUAAAGAUCUUUUGCCUGGCAUUUUGCCCUGGCAACAGCACCAUAAUGUUCCUGACAACCUGCAGGCUGUGGCGGUAAUGGGCGUUCAUUUGCAAGGUGUACACGAUCGUUGUGGAGACGAGGUCAGGGUGCAUCUAAUUUCAAGGACUUGUUCGACGUUGUUCUUCUGGAGUACUCUCUGUCACUAUUUGUUUUGACUUUUCUAAAUACAUAUUUAAAAAGAUCAAAACGAAUAGUAAUUCCAGGAAGUACGUAGGAAGCAAGCGGACACGAGGAUUAGAAUGGGCAGUGAGCCUCAUUACACUAGGUAGGCAGCAGUAUCUGUUUACCUAGUUUUUCCUUAUCUCCGUGGGAUUUGAUUGUGCCAGCGUCUAAACAAACACAGGUUGCCUCCAGAAAGGAAUUAUAUUAAAAAACAUGAACCAAAGAGAAUCUAAUAAGUUACACGCUCGUGAGACUUUGAUGCGAAUUUAUGCCAGUUAUAGGUCAUCUGUAAAGUUCCACUUAAAAAUCUUUUCCAUUGAUUUCUAAUUCUCUUUUUGUCAGGUGAAUUUGUUUUCAAUUUCAUGCUUAUUUUUUCAGUUACAUUCUAGAUUCUUGUGUUCAAGGUGGUCUGGUUCUGGUAACUCGCGGCCAGGAAGAAGAUGAGGUCCCUGGCCUCGACAAAUUGCAGAAUCAUGUCAUGGCGCUUACGAAUGACUAGUUACAAAUCUUAUUAUUAGUAAAAAAACAGAGUAUGUAUAAGAACCUGGUACACUAGUCUUGCAGCAUCACUUUGUGUUUGGAUUGAGGAUCGAAGUGGGUUGAGAUGGGUUUUACAAAACAGAGUAUGUACAAGAACCUGGUACACUAGUCUUGCAGCAUCACUCUGUGUUUGGAUUGAGGGUUGAAGUGGGUUGCCAACCCACUUUGCCCCAUGUUUGAUUGAAUUCCCAACCCAGAUGGGAAUAUUCCUACGAGAUCCGGGUCGAGCGCAUCCCAUUAAAUCGGAGGGACUGCAUGAACCCAGUCCGACGCCAUCUCCGUGCUUGCCUGCGCGCUGGGGAGGAGCUGGGAUGCCGGGUGGUGGCGGGCGCGGGGAGGUGGCGGGGGAGGUCGCCACCGUGGGGAGGCCGCCACCGCGGCGGAUGCAGGGGCCGGCGGCGGCAAGGGAGAGCAGGGGGUGCGUGGGAGGAGCCAGUAGAGGAGCCGUGCGGGGAGGAGGAAGAAGGUAGAAGAGGAAGGGAGGAAAAAAAGAGAGGCUGACUGGUGAGCCCCGCAACUGAUAGGUGGGGCCCACAACUAACGGUGUUAAAAGGACAUCCAUCCUAACCUUCUCAACCUCAUCAAGCAAACAAAAAAAUGGAUCAGCUCCAACCUACUCAUCCAAACAUGAGAUGAGAUGGCUCCAACUCAACUCACAUCGUCCCAAAAUCAAAAGCUACCUUAGUCUCUUCCUCUUCAAAUAACUGCUUCUCGUCACGGCCAGGCUCUCCGCCGCCGCUUCCACGGCGCAAUUCGUGACGUAGUUGUAGUAGGGCGGUAUAGGGGACCGCCAUGCUAGCACGCCCAUCUUGUCCUCGCCACGGGGCACGGCGCGGCCGUCGAGCACGUCCUGCAGCGUCACCUUGGGAAGCUCGGCGCUCUGCGCCGGACCGGGUCGCCACGUCCCCGUCUGCUUGCGCCAGUCGUAGUAGAAGCAGAGCGGCGCGUCCUCGGCGGCGCCGCAGAGGUAGGCGAGCCUGCUGCGGCCCGGCAGCCGGCUCGGGUGCUCGCCGAAGGCGGUGUAGUUGGCGCGCACGCCGCGCCUGACCACCUCCAGCACGCGGCGCCAGAACCGCGCGUCCAUGCUCGAGUGCAUCAGCCGGGAGAGGAUGUUGGCGGCCAUGAACGACCCCUUGAGCUCGUCCACGAGGUCCAUGGCGAUGGAAGCGAGCUCCGGGUGGUCGCCCGGGUCGGCGCUGCCGAAGGCGAGGACCUUGAAGAAGUGCCAGUAUUCUUCUUUGUGCAGGGUUGCCAGCCUCAGUGCCUGUCCCGUUCCUAGAGUUGAGACCUGCUCUGUUUGGCUGAUGACGAUGAUCUUGCUUGAUUUGUCGCUGUUGCUAACAGAGGAGUAGAACCUUCUCCAAGCUGAGGCAUCCGGCGCACCGGCAAACUCGACGAUGAUCAGUGAUCCCCCGCCGCUCGGGACGUGUUCCUGGUGCUCAGGAAUCAGAUCAUAUUCGCCGUCUCCAAGUUCGUCGCCGCAGAGAUGGGUGAUCAGAGGGAAUUGCUUCCGCACCCUGUCGUCGGCGCAGACGUGCUCCACGAGAGUCUUCUUCCCAACCUCCGGUGGGCCGGUGAUGGGGAGGACUCCGGGAAGCGAGCAAGGCCGCAGCAGGAACUCGAUAACCCUCUCCAUCUCGCCGUGCCGGCCAAACAUGCACCGGCCCAUGUGCAGAUACGUGCUGUACGGCUGGCGACCGACGCGCGGGUAGCCGCCGAGGAACACGACGAACUCCUUCAUGUCGCCGAGCACGGCCUCGAGGCUGUCAACGACGGCCUGGAGCUCGUUCAUGCUGUCUCCGCUUACCUCCACUGCUCCUUCACCGUUGUUGCCGUCGACGACCGCCGCCGCGUCGAAGUACGGCGAGGAGGAGGAGGAUCUGCGGCGCGCCGCGAGGACGCGCCUUCUUGUGCUGACGGCGGCGAGCCUCCGGGAGGCGUCGAGGACGUAGUGGCCCCGGUACAUGCCCUCCCUGAGACGGCCGAGCUGCAGGAGCAUACCGCGGUUGGUGAUGUGCCGCGUCUCGGCCUCCUCGACGACGGCGCGGGCACGCAGGAGGAGACGGUGCAGCCUCCCAAGUUUGCUGGCGGCGGCAUGCUUCUGGUACCUGGCGAUGAGGAAGGAGAGGCACCGGCCGAUGAGGUCGCUGACCACCGCAGAGGCCAAGGCGUCCAUUGCUGAAACUGAUCGAGGAGUUUCUUGCAGGCUGCUGGUUAGUGAUUACUGAACCGACGAGUGGAUUCCCGCCGGUUCGCGAGAAAAAGUUUGAUGCCAUGGAUGGAAUGUGGAGGUCCAAGUCAAGGGUCAACCCCUGAGACAGCACGGCGGUGACUGUCCCGGUUUGUGGUUCCCCUUCCAAGCAGGCGGCUGGUCGUCACUCGUCAAAGUUGCAUACAGCUGAUAAGCCGGUGAAGCAAUCAAUUUAUUGUGAAAUGUUAACAUAAAAAGGACCAGCCCAGAAUCUGUUUACUGUUCUUUUUUUAAAAAAAAGACAUCCUAAACAUCGAACUCGAAGUCUUUUUUUUUGUUUCAUCAAUGGUGUUUCCGAAGAAAUGGUUGAAUAAGAUUUAGUGAACUUUCAAACGUACGACGUCUAACAACCCCAUUUAAAAAAUCCGAUUCAGAGAACAAUGAACCCUAAAAACAA
rnacentral:lncRNA from 1 species